GCUACGGGAGGCAGCAGUGGGGGAUAUUGCACAAUGGGGGAAACCCUGAUGCAGCGACGCCGCGUGUGGGAAGACGGUCUUCUGGAGUGUAAACCACUGUCCCCAGGGACGAAAAUGACGGUACCUGGGGAGGAAGCUCCGGCUAACUACGUGCCAGCAGCCGCUGUAAUACGUAGGGAGCAAGCGUGGUCCGGAAGUACUGGGGUUAAAGGGAGCGUAGGCGGGGAUGCAAGUUGGGUGUCAAAACUACCGGCUCAACCGAUAGUCGCACUCAAAACUGCAACUCUUGAGUGAAGUAGAGGCAGGCGGAAUUCCUAGUGUAGCGGUGAAAUGCGUAGAUAUUAGGAGGAACCCCAGUGGCGACGGCGGCCUGCUGGGCUUUUACUGACGCUGAGGCUCGAAAGUGUGGGGAGCAAACAGGAUUAGAUCCCCGGGUAGUC
rnacentral:rRNA from 1 species